rnacentral:rRNA from 1 species
AGAGUUUGAUCCUGGCUCAGAACGAACGCUGGCGGCGCGUUUUAAGCAUGCAAGUCGAACGGUAUACAUAGCUUGCUACGUAGAGAGUGGCGAACGGGUGAGUAACACGUAGGUAAUCUGCCACUGGAUGGGGGAUAGACCACGGAAACGUGGCGUAAUACCGCAUGAGCUCUAUACUUAUAACGAGUGUAGAGGAAAGAUGCAAUUGUAUCGUCUGGAGAUGAGCCUGCGGUCCAUUAGCUUGUUGGCAGGGUAAUGGCCUACCAAGGCGACGAUGGAUAGCCGGCCUGAGAGGGUGAACGGCCACACUGGGACUGAGACACGGCCCAGACUCCUACGGGAGGCAGCAGCUAAGAAUCUUCCGCAAUGGGCGAAAGCCUGACGGAGCGACGCCGCGUGGACGAUGAAGGCCGAAAGGUUGUAAAGUCCUUUUCUUAGGGAAGAAUAAGGCGAAGAAUGGAAUGCUUCGCUGAUGACAUUAACUGAGGAAUAAGCCCCGGCCAAUUACGUGCCAGCAGCCGCGGUAAUACGUAUGGGGCGAGCGUUGUUCGGAAUUAUUGGGCGUAAAGGGCGUGUAGGCGGUUUUAUAAGCCUGGUGUGAAAUCCCACAGCUCAACUGUGGAUCCGCGCUGGGAACUGUAAGACUAGAGUUUAGGAGGGGAAGCUGGAAUUCCUGGUGUAGGGGUGAAAUCUGUAGAUAUCAGGAAGAACACCGAUGGCGAAGGCAAGCUUCUAGCCAUAGACUGACGCUGAGGCGCGAAAGCGUGGGGAGCGAACAGGAUUAGAUACCCUGGUAGUCCACGCUGUAAACGAUGUGCACUGGGUGUAGGAGACGUUGAGUUUUCUGUGCCGUAGCUAACGCGAUAAGUGCACCGCCUGGGGAGUAUGCUCGCAAGGGUGAAACUCAAAGGAAUUGACGGGGGCCCGCACAAGCGGUGGAGCAUGUGGUUUAAUUCGAUACGCGAGGAACCUUACCAGGGCUUGACAUGUACUUGAAGGCUUAAGAGAUUAAGUCGACCUUUAGGGGACAGGUACACAGGUGCUGCAUGGCUGUCGUCAGCUCGUGUCGUGAGAUGUUGGGUUAAGUCCCGCAACGAGCGCAACCCUUACUGUCUGUUACCAGCAGGUCUUCGGACGCUGGGGACUCAGGCAGAACUGCCGGUGACAAACCGGAGGAAGGUGGGGAUGACGUCAAGUCAUCAUGGCCCUUAUGUCCUGGGCUACACACGUGCUACAAUGGUCGGUACAAAGCGUUGCGAGACGGUGACGUCCUUAGCAAAUCGCAAAAAGCCGAUCUCAGUUCGGAUUGGAGUCUGAAACCCGACUCCAUGAAGUUGGAAUCGCUAGUAAUCGCGCAUCAGAAUGGCGCGGUGAAUAUGUUCCCGGGCCUUGUACACACCGCCCGUCACACCACCCGAGUUGGGGGUACCCGAGGUCGCUAGUCUAACUGU